CCAUUUGCUUGGUAGAUUUUUCAGCAUCCCUUUAUUUUGAGCCCAUGGGUGUCAUAACAUGUGUAAUGUUUCUCUUGAAGACAAUAUACAAUUGGGUCUUUUUCUUUAUCCAGCUUGCCACUCUGUGCCUUUUAAUUGGGGCAUUUAGACCAUUUACAUGCAAGGUGUCACUUUAAAUUUAGUGAAGUCGCCUUUGGUUCUUGAUUGAAGGCUGGAAAUAAGACCCGAUCUGUCAACUUUCUGUUACCUCAAGACCUCUGGAUAGAUUUAUAGGUGAAAUAUAAGGACACAGGCAUCUUUUUCAGUUGAAGCUCUGUUCAUCCCUCAAGGACACACCUUUAAGUUAACUCGAAAGGAUAUUGGGGCUUCAAAAGAAUAACUGUCAGAGAAAUGAUUCCAACUAGGAAGUUUCAUUCAAUUAAAAUAAAGUGAGCUGUAUUUCAUCAGAAUAGGAUUGAAUUGGAGGAGGCCCAGCUGCAGAUUCCUCUACAGAAUUGAUUGCUUGUUUGCUGCUGGGAGAAAUCCCACACAGCUGGUGUCAGAAACAUGUUGCAAGAGGACAGAUGGAAAGAGCUCCUGGAGAACAAAAAGGAAAAACAUUCCUAUGAAACAAAGCGAAAAAUAAGCAUCGUUGAAGAAAAAUUUCUUAACAUAAAAGAUAACUUCAUGCUACAUACUCAAAGGACAUUGCUAAAAUCAACUGAGAAAGUAUUGCCAAGUCCUGGACCAAUUUGUGUACAGAUCUCUGGCCAACUGUGAAACCUCUUCAGCCUUUCACCUGCAUCAUCAAAUGUGGAGGACUGGAGGCAAUGAGAGACUGAUGCACACUCUGGAGAGAAACUGAUACUCCUAAAGGUACUGUUUACCACAAUGAACACACUUUUAUCAUGUCAACAGCUUCCAUCUCUACAUUGCCCUGUGUAAGAAUACACUGGGAGCUGAUAUAACCUCAGUGAUGGUAAAACAGGAUAUGGAAUCCAGCAAACAUUCGUUAAAUGGACCUAACAUCAAUAUUCUGAAACAGAAGUGGAAAUGAAACUGAGACAGAAAAAGAAUUGGGUAAUAAAUGUACUAAAGAGCAAUUUUUCUAAUAGUUGGCAGAAGGUGGUAAAAGGUAAGUUGAAAAAGUUCAUCUGUGAGUAAAGGCGCAUUAUUGUUAGGUGGCUUUCUUAACAGGUUCAGGAAGCUUUAUUCAGAAUCUUCAUACACUGUGUUUGUGCAUGCUAUGAAAUCCCAGUGGUAGAAAUAUAUUUUAGGGUUGGGAUCUAAGUUAAAUAGUGGUAGAAUGAAUUUGACAUAUUCACAUGAUUGGCUUUGUUAGAAAUGUGUCUGAAAACUUACCAAACCAAUUGCCUCAGUGUCAUUUGCAAUAAUCCAGAUGACAGAGUAUGUCAGUGAAAUAUUUUCCCCAGCAUGUGGGAGCAUCAUCAGCUGUCUCAGUGUAGGCUAUUUUUACUAUAGGAAGUGAAAAUGUUUGUCUUCCGUCUUGUAAUACAGAAAAGUAAACUGUAUCAUCAUAAUAUCAAUACCCAGUGGUCAUGAAUUUUGAGACUAUGAGAAGAAACAAUAGAAUAUAAGAUUCUAAUAUGACUAUGAAAAAGAUAGAGAGGAUAAAUCAGAGCUGAAGGGCUCAAUUAUGUAAAUGAGCAAGAGAAGUUUGGAUAAUACCAUCAGAGAGACAGCAAGUUAAAAUAUAAAGAAUAUUAGGGGCUGGGUGCAGUGGCUCACGCCUGUAAUCCCAACACUUUGGGAGACCAAGGUGGGUUGAUCACGAGGUCAGGAGAUUGAGACCAGCCUGGCCCAUAUUGUGAAACCCUGUCUCCACUAAAAAUACAAAAAAAAAAAAAAAAAAAAAAAAAAA
rnacentral:lncRNA from 1 species